GUAGUCGUACCGGUAACCGUAGAGUUUGAUCAUGGCUCAGGAAAGUCGUAACAGGGUAACCGUAGAGUUUGAUCAUGGCUCAGGAAAGUCGUAACUAGGUAACCGUAGAGUUUGUUCGUGGCUAAUACCAAUUAAUGACUUCGGUCCAAAAAUUUAUCGCCCAAGGAUGAGCCCGCGUAAGAUUAGCUAGUUGGUGGGGUAAAAGCCUACCAAGGCGACGAAGUUUAGCUGGUCUGAGAGGAUGAUCAGCCACACUGGGACUGAGACACGGCCCAAACUCCUACGGGAGGCAGCAGUGGGGAAUAUUGGACAAUGGGCGAAAGCCUGAUCCAGCAAUGCCGCGUGAGUGAUGAAGGCCCUAGGGUUGUAAAGCUCUUUUACCCGGGAUGAUAAUGACAGUACCGGGAGAAUAAGCUCCGGCUAACUCCGUGCCAGCAGCCGCGGUAAUACGGAGGGAGCUAGCGU
rnacentral:rRNA from 1 species